rnacentral:rRNA from 1 species
AGAGUUUGAUCAUGGCUCAGAGCGAACGCUGGCGGCAGGCCUAACACAUGCAAGUCGAGCGCCCCGCAAGGGGAGCGGCAGACGGGAGAGUAACACGUGGGAACGUACCCUUCAGUUCGGAACAACCCAGGGAAACUUGGGCUAAUACCGAAUACGUCCGUAAGGAGAAAGAUUUAUCGCUGAAGGAUCGGCCCGCGUCUGAUUAGCUAGUUGGUGAGGUAACGGCUCACCAAGGCGACGAUCAGUAGCUGGUCUGAGAGGAUGAUCAGCCUCACUGGGACUGAGACACGGCCCAGACUCCUACGGGAGGCAGCAGUGGGGAAUAUUGGACAAUGGGCGCAAGCCUGAUCCAGCCAUGCCGCGUGGGUGAUGAAGGCCCUAGGGUUGUAAAGCCCUUUCGGCGGGGAAGAUAAUGACGGUACCCGCAGAAGAAGCCCCGGCUAACUUCGUGCCAGCAGCCGCGGUAAUACGAAGGGGGCUAGCGUUGCUCGGAAUCACUGGGCGUAAAGCGCACGUAGGCGGCUUUUUAAGUCAGGGGUGAAAUCCUGGAGCUCAACUCCAGAACUGCCUUUGAUACUGAGAAGCUUGAGUCCGGGAGAGGUGAGUGGAACUGCGAGUGUAGAGGUGAAAUUCGUAGAUAUUCGCAAGAACACCAGUGGCGAAGGCGGCUCACUGGCCCGGUACUGACGCUGAGGUGCGA